rnacentral:rRNA from 1 species
CGGAACACGUACAGAACCUUCCUUUAAGCGGGGGAUAGCCCAUAGAAAUGUGGAUUAAUACCCCAUAGUAAUGUUGAUUGGCAUCAAUUGACAUUUAAAGAUUUAUCACUUAAAGAUGGCUGUGCGGCUGAUUAGGUAGUUGGUGCGGGUAACGGCCCACCAAGCCAGCGAUCAGUAACUGGUGUGAGAGCACGACCAGUCACACGGGCACUGAGACACGGGCCCG